rnacentral:rRNA from 1 species
CGUAACGAUGGCGGCGCUGUCUCCACCCGAGACUCAGUGAAAUUGAAAUCGCUGUGAAGAUGCAGUGUAUCCGCGGCUAGACGGAAAGACCCCGUGAACCUUUACUGUAGCUUUGCACUGGACUUUGAGCCUGCUUGUGUAGGAUAGGUGGGAGGCUUUGAAGCGUGGACGCCAGUUCGCGUGGAGCCAUCCUUGAAAUACCACCCUGGCAUGCUUGAGGUUCUAACUCUGGUCCGUGAUCCGGAUCGAGGACAGUGUAUGGUGGGCAGUUUGACUGGGGCGGUCUCCUCCUAAAGAGUAACGGAGGAGUACGAAGGUGCGCUCAGACCGGUCGGAAAUCGGUCGCAGAGUAUAAAGGCAAAAGCGCGCUUGACUGCGAGACAGACACGUCGAGCAGGUACGAAAGUAGGUCUUAGUGAUCCGGUGGUUCUGUAUGGAAGGGCCAUCGCUCAACGGAUAAAAGGUACUCCGGGGAUAACAGGCUGAUACCGCCCAAGAGUUCAUAUCGACGGCGGUGUUUGGCACCUCGAUGUCGGCUCAUCACAUCCUGGGGCUGAAGCCGGUCCCAAGGGUAUGGCUGUUCGCCAUUUAAAGUGGUACGCGAGCUGGGUUUAGAACGUCGUGAGACAGUUCGGUCCCUAUCUGCCGUGGACGUUUGAGAUUUGAGAGGGGCUGCUCCUAGUACGAGAGGACCGGAGUGGACGAACCUCUGGUGUUCCGGUUGUCACGCCAGUGGCAUUGCCGGGUAGCUAUGUUCGGAAAAGAUAACCGCUGAAAGCAUCUAAGCGGGAAACUUGCCUCAAGAUGAGAUCUCACUGGGAACUUGAUUCCCCUGAAGGGCCGUCGAAGACUACGACGUUGAUAGGCUGGGUGUGUAAGCGUUGUGAGGCGUUGAGCUAACCAGUACUAAUUGCCCGUGAGGCUUGACCAU